rnacentral:rRNA from 11 species
CAAUACAGCACUUUUCUAUACUUCCAAGAUCAGGUGCAGGCACCAGACUGCACCUGAUCUUGGAAGUUAAAUCAAGCCUGGUUAGAAUUCAGAUAGGUGACCACCAAGGAAUACCAGGAGCUGUAGGCU